rnacentral:rRNA from 1 species
GAUGAACGCUGGCGGCGUGCCUAAUACAUGCCAGUCGAGCGAACGGACGAGAAGCUUGCUUCUCUGAUGUUAGCGGCGGACGGGUGAGUAACACGUGGAUAACCUACCUAUAAGACUGGGAUAACUUCGGGAAACCGGAGCUAAUACCGGAUAAUAUUUUGAACCGCAUGGUUCAAAAGUGAAAGACGGUCUUGCUGUCACUUAUAGAUGGAUCCGCGCUGCAUUAGCUAGUUGGUAAGGUAACGGCUUACCAAGGCAACGAUGCAUAGCCGACCUGAGAGGGUGAUCGGCCACACUGGAACUGAGACACGGUCCAGACUCCUACGAGAGGCAGCAGUAGGGAAUCUUCCGCAAUGGGCGAAAGCCUGACGGAGCAACGCCGCGUGAGUGAUGAAGGUCUUCGGAUCGUAAAACUCUGUUAUUAGGGAAGAACAUAUGUGUAAGUAACUGUGCACAUCUUGACGGUACCUAAUCAGAAAGCCACGGCUAACUACGU